rnacentral:lncRNA from 1 species
CGUUGGAAGAGAGAGUGGUUUGUUGCCCUCAUUUCGAAGUGAAAUGUGUCUGUAACCUGCUUGUAGACCAUCUAGAGGCAGGAUCCUCUGACCGAUCAACUUAUUAUUGUCAUCAUAUACUGCUAUUCUCAGGACAGCAAGAUCAGGGAGAAUAACCUUUCGAAAUACAAAUGAUUCUUCAUUGUAAACAGGGUUCAGACCGUUGUUCAUCACCAUGCGCGUUCUAAAUUCUUUACGUAUUGUGUCCGUGGGUAAACCAUACAUAUCCACUUCUACAUACGUACCAAUCUUUUUAUCUGAUAAAAACUGACCAGAUAUUACCUGUACAGAACAUGUUGCAGCAAUUACACCAUCUACAGGAGUUUCAGAGAAAGGGUCAAAUGUUC